AUUGAACGCUGGCGGCAGGCUUAACACAUGCAAGUCGAGCGGGGUGAUGGUGCUUGCACUAUCACUUAGCGGCGGACGGGUGAGUAAUGCUUAGGAAUCUGCCUAUUAGUGGGGGACAACAUCUCGAAAGGGAUGCUGAUACCGCAUACGUCCUACGGGAGAAAGCAGGGGAUCACUUGUGACCUUGCGCUAAUAGAUGAGCCUAAGUCGGAUUAGCUAGUUGUUGGGGUAAAGGCCUACCAAGGCGACGAUCUGUAGCGGGUCUGAGAGGAUGAUCCGCCACACUGGGAAUGGGACACGGCCCAGAGUCCUGCGGGAGGCAGCAGUGGGGAAUAUUGGACAAUGGGGGGAACCCUGAUCCAGCCAUGCCGCGUGUGUGAAGAAGGCCUUAUGGUUGUAAAGCACUUUAAGCGAGGAGGAGGCUCUUUUGGUUAAUACCCAAGAUGAGUGGACGUUACUCGCAGAAUAAGCACCGGCUAACUCUGUGCCAGCCGCCGCGGUAA
rnacentral:rRNA from 1 species